AACAGAUCUAACGUUACUGUUCGAUGAUAUUAUAAAGUGGAAAACUACUGUUAUUUUUUUUUAACUAAGAUCCAGAAAAUUUCCAAUCAUAAACAUCACCAAAAAUCUCUGAGAAAUUUACUGCGUAGGAGAGUUUUUCUCUACUUGAUGUCACCCUUGAAAUAUAUUUCUAAGAAUUCCAAGGACUAUUCUUAGAACACAAUGAUAUAGAUCGGGUCUGAAUGAAGCAAACGAAAAUGGCUGUUUACUAAGACUCUUAGGAGCUUGGACUUCCUUAGAAUGCCAGAUGAGCUUGGGAAGGCAAUGACUAAACUUGCAGUAUCUCAUUGAGAAUCUUCCUUCCAGUUGUAAGACCUCCUAAGUCAGAAACAGCUAUAAACAAAUACGUAGAAACCAGGAUCCAGACACAAGCUCUUCUUUCCAGCUUAUCUCUUAACUCAGGCAAAAGACCCGAAGAGCACAGCAUCCCAUGAUGGAAACCAAGACUACUCCUCAAGGAGUAACUGCCCAUAUGAAGAGCUCCUGGGGCCCAGAAUGCCCAGACCCGUUUGAGCUCAACCCCCAACCGCCCCUGUGCAGAUGGACCAUGGAAUGACCCAUGGAGUAACCAACAAUUACCUUUACCUCAUUAUAUUACAAUCUCUGCCCAAAGAGGAGCCCCCGCCUCAUUUACAUAACAUACAUUGUCUGUACAGGCAUGUUUCCUUAAGACACAUGUACGACCUUAUACCUGCCUCUGCAUACAUUGACAAGGCUCCCCUUUCUAAAUAUUCAUCCUAACCUUAAGUAAAAGAAACCUACUCACCCUUGCUGGGGAGUCAUGGCUUUGGAAUUUACUCCCCAUGAG